UCGAAGGGUGAUGCUUACCGCGGAGGCUGCCUUCCAUUAGUGGAUCGCUUCGCAGAAAAUAAGCCCUAGAUUG
rnacentral:snoRNA from 1 species